GAUGAACGCUAGCGGCAGGCUUAAUACAUGCAAGUCGUGGGGCAGCAUGAAGUAGCAAUACUUUGAUGGCGACCGGCAAACGGGUGCGGAACACGUACACAACCUUCCUUAUAGUGGGGAAUAGCCCAGAGAAAUUUGGAUUAAUACCCCGUAACAUAGCGAUGUGGCGUCACAUUGCUACUAUAGCUUCGGCGCUAGAUGCUGGGCGUGCGUAUGAUUAGAUAGUUGGCGAGGUAACGGCUCACCAAGUCUACGAUCAUUAGCUGAUGUGAGAGCAUGAUCAGCCACACGGGCACUGAGACACGGGCCCGACUCCUACGGGAGGCAGCAGUAAGGAAUAUUGGUCAAUGGACGAAAGUCUGAACCAGCCAUGCCGCGUGAAGGAUUAAGGUCCUCUGGAUUGUAAACUUCUUUUAUAUGGGACGAAAAAAGGUCUUUCUAGAUCACUUGACGGUACCAUAUGAAUAAGCACCGGCUAACUCCGUGCCAGCCGCCGCCGUAAUAC
rnacentral:rRNA from 1 species